GAUGAACGCUGGCGGUAUGCUUAACACAUGCAAGUCGAACGCAGACUUUCGGGUCUGAGUGGCGGACGGGUGAGUAACGCGUGAGAAUCUGGCUUCAGGUUGGGGACAACCACGGGAAACGGUGGCUAAUACCCAAUAUGCCGUUAAGGUGAAAGAUUAAUUGCCUGAAGAUGAGCUCGCGUCUGAUUAGCUAGUUGGUGGGGUAAGAGCUCACCAAGGCGACGAUCAGUAGCUGGUCUGAGAGGACGAUCAGCCACACUGGGACUGAGACACGGCCCAGACUCCUACGGGAGGCAGCAGUGGGGAAUUGUCCGCAAUGGGCGAAAGCCUGACGGAGCAAUACCGCGUGAGGGAGGAAGGCUCUUGGGUUGUAAACCUCUUUUCUCAGGGAAGAAGGCAAUGACGGUACCUGAGGAAUCAGCAUCGGCUAACUCCGUG
rnacentral:rRNA from 1 species